UACAGAGGGGGCAAGCGUUAUUCGGAAUUAUUGGGCGUAAAGGGCGCGUAGGCGGCUUUUCAAGUGGCGGGUGAAAUCCCUCGGCUUAACCGAGGAACUGCCUGCCAGACUGGAAGGCUUGAGACCGGGAGAGGUGAGUGGAAUUCCCAGUGUAGCGGUGAAAUGCGUAGAUAUUGGGAGGAACACCGAUGGCGAAGGCAGGUCUCUGGGCCACUACUGACGCUGAGAAGCGAAAGCAUGGGGAGCGAACAGG
rnacentral:rRNA from 1 species